AUUGAACGCUGGCGGCAUGCCUUACACAUGCAAGUCGAACGGUAACAGGCCGCAAGGUGCUGACGAGUGGCGAACGGGUGAGUAAUGCAUCGGAACGUGCACAGUCGUGGGGGAUAACUGCUAGAAAGAGCAGCUAAUACCGCAUACGACCUGAGGGUGAAAGCGGGGGACCGUAAGGCCUCGCGCGAUUGGAGCGGCAGAUGUCAGAGUAGCUAGUUGGUGGGGUAAAGGCCUACCAAGGCAGCGAUCUGUAGUUGGGCUGAGAGGACGACCAGCCACACUGGGACUGAGACACGGCCCAGACUCCUACGGGAGGCAGCAGUGGGGAAUUUUGGACAAUGGGCGGAAGCCUGAUCCAGAAAUGCCGCGUGCAGGAAGAAGGCCUUCGGGUUGUAAACUGCUUUUGUCAGGGAAGAAAUCUUCUGGGCUAAUACCCCGGGAGGAUGACGGUACCUGAAGAAUAAGCACCGCCUAACUACGUGCCAGCAGCCGCCGCCGUAA
rnacentral:rRNA from 1 species